rnacentral:rRNA from 1 species
AACGAACGCUGGCGGCAUGCCUAACACAUGCCAGUCGAACGAGACCUUCGGGUCUAGUGGCGCACGGGUGCGUAACGCGUGGGAACCUGCCCUUAGGUUCGGAAUAACUCCCCGAAAGGGGUGCUAAUACCGGAUAAUGUCUUCGGACCAAAGAUUUAUCGCCUUUGGAUGGGCCCGCGUUGGAUUAGCUAGUUGGUAGGGUAAAAGCCUACCAAGGCGACGAUCCAUAGCUGGUCUGAGAGGAUGAUCAGCCACACUGGGACUGAGACACGGCCCAGACUCCUGCGGGAGGCAGCAGUGGGGAAUAUUGGACAAUGGGCGAAAGCCUGAUCCAGCAAUGCCGCGUGAGUGAUGAAGGCCUUAGGGUUGUAAAGCUCUUUUACCCGGGAUGAUAAUGACAGUACCGGGAGAAUAAGCUCCGGCUAACUCCGUG